rnacentral:rRNA from 1 species
CUGCUCAAUGCAUUGUAAAUAGCCGCAGUAUUCUGACUGUGCUAAGGUAGCAUAAUCAUUAGUCUCUUAAUUAGAGGCUGGUAUGAAUGGUGAGACGAGAAAAAAGCUGUCUCUAUAAUAAUUAUCGAAUUUCAUUUUUAAGUGAAAAAGCUUAAAUACAUUUGGUGGACGAUCAGACCCUUUGGAGCUUUAUUUUAGCCUGAUUUUAGGUUACUAUUUCAUAACAAAAGUUUUGCUUAAAUUUUGUUGGGGCGACAGGAAGUUUGAAAGUAUCACUUUCUUUAAAAAACAUGUGUAUAUGGAAAAUUGAUCCCCUUCGUGGGAUUAAAAGACUAAGUUACCCUAGGGAUAACAGCGUAAUCUUUUUGGAGAGUUCUUAUCGAUAAAAAGGUUUGCGACCUCGAUGUUGGAUUAAGAAAUUAGCAAGGUGCAGAAGUUUUGCUGGAAAGUCUGUUCGACUUU